UGUGGGGACUGUGCAGACAAGGUAUGAA
rnacentral:piRNA from 1 species